GAUGAACGCUGGAGGCGUGCCUAAUACAUGCAAGUCGAGCGAACGGACGAGAAGCUUGCUUCUCUGAUGUUAGCGGCGGACGGGUGAGUAACACGUGGAUAACCUACCUAUAAGACUGGGAUAACUUCGGGAAACCGGAGCUAAUACCGGAUAAUAUUUUGAACCGCAUGGUUCAAAAGUGAAAGACGGUCUUGCUGUCACUUAUAGAUGGAUCCGCGCUGCAUUAGCUAGUUGGUAAGGUAACGGCUUACCAAGGCAACGAUGCAUAGCCGACCUGAGAGGGGGAUCGGCCACACUGGAACUGAGACACGGUCCAGACUCCUACGGGAGGCAGCAGUAGGGAAUCUUCCGCAAUGGGCGAAAGCCUGACGGAGCAACGCCGCGUGAGUGAUGAAGGUCUUCGGAUCGUAAAACUCUGUUAUUAGGGAAGAACAUAUGUGUAAUUAACUGUGCACAUCUUGACGGUACCUAAUCAGAAAGCCACGGCUAACUACGUG
rnacentral:rRNA from 1 species